AAGUCGUAACAAGGUUUCCGUAGGUGAACCUGCGGAAGGAUCAUUACCAUAUCCAAAAACUUUACCAACCCACCGUGUGAACUGUUGUUUUUUCCUACACUUGGGGUGGACGUGGUGUUAAACAGCCACCAAGCCCCACCUGUAAGAAAUUUUUCCAUGAACCCCUGGUCAAACCAUCCAUUUUAGCUCUGACUUUUUUCUUUUGCGCAUCUCUUGGUAACGAGAGAGGCGUGAAAAAAAAACCAAACCACAAACCAAUAGACAACUUAUGACGGUGGAUCUCUUGGCUCGU
rnacentral:misc_RNA from 1 species